rnacentral:rRNA from 1 species
UACGUAGGGUGCGAGCGUUAAUCGGAAUUACUGGGCGUAAAGCGUGCGCAGGCGGUUUUGUAAGCCAGAUGUGAAAGCCCCGGGCUCAACCUGGGAAUGGCCGUUGAAACUGGCGAACUGGAGUGUGGCAGAGGGGGGUGGAAUUCCGCGUGUAGCAGUGAAAUGCGUAGAGAUGCGGAGGAACACCGAUGGCGAAGGCAGCUCGCUGGGACGUUACUGACGCUGAGACGCGAAAGCGUGGGGAGCAAACAGG